AGGACGAACGCUGGCGGCGUGCUUAACACAUGCAAGUCGAGCGGAAAGGCCCUUCGGGGUACUCGAGCGGCGAACGGGUGAGUAACACGUGAGUAAUCUGCCCCUAGCUCUGGGAUAGCUCCGGGAAACCGGGAUUAAUACCAGAUACGACCACUUUAGACAUCUGUUGUGGUGGAAAGAAUUUCGGCUAGGGAUGAGCUCGCGGCCUAUCAGCUUGUUGGUGAGGUAACGGCUCACCAAGGCGACGACGGGUAGCCGGCCUGAGAGGGCGACCGGCCACACUGGGACUGAGACACGGCCCAGACUCCUACGGGAGGCAGCAGUGGGGAAUAUUGCGCAAUGGGCGAAAGCCUGACGCAGCGACGCCGCGUGGGGGAUGAAGGCCUCGGGUUGUAACCCUUUCAGCAGGGACGAAGCGAAAGUGACGGUACCUGCAGAAGAAGCGCCGGCUAACUACGCGCCAGCAGCCGC
rnacentral:rRNA from 1 species